UUUCAUUAUAAAGUGAUCGAAUUAGUUUCAUCUAACAAAGAAUGAAAAAUAUGUGUGAAAUGUUUAAAUUUGCUAAUGUUAUGAUUCUCUUGGUUUACCUAUUUCUAGUUGUGUCAAAUGCAGCGAAGAUGUGUAUAUUUACCCUAAAUUGUGAUGAAGAUCUUUGCGACCAUCUUGAAUUUGCAAAGUGCCAGUGGUUUCGUUGUACAUGCGUACAUUAUAAAUUACUUUUAUAAAGUGGAGCCCUAGCUAGUCAGUAUACAAAUCAUGAAGACGCAAAUUAAGAACUUAUUUCUUAAAGAGGUGGUUAAAUUGUUCUAAUAAUUGAUUUUCCUAUUGUUAUUAUCAUUAUGCAUUUGUUCAAAACAUGUUGUAAUAAAGAACUCUGAAUUAGAAGUGUUUUUCUUCUUCUGGAAA